UACAGAGGGUGCGAGCGUUGUCCGGAAUCACUGGGCGUAAAGGGCGCGUAGGCGGUUGCCUAAGCGUGUGGUGAAAGCCCGGGGCUCAACCCCGGGUCGGCCAUGCGAACUGGGCGACUGGAGCCGAUCAGAGGCAGGCGGAAUUCCGGGUGUGAGCGGUGGAAUGCGUAGAGAUCCGGAAGAACGACCGGUGGCGAAGGCGGCCUGCUGGGAUCGAGCUGACGCUGAGGCGCGACAGCGGUGGGGAGCAAACGAGG
rnacentral:rRNA from 1 species